AUAUCAAUAAGCGGAGGAAAAGAAACCAACAGGGAUUGCCUCAGUAGCGGCGAGUGAAGCGGCAAAAGCUCAAAUUUGAAAUCUGGUACCUUCGGUGCCCGAGUUGUAAUUUGAAGAAAGUAAUCUUGGAAUUGGCCCCUGUCUAUGUUCCUUGGAACAGGACGUCAUAGAGGGUGAGAAUCCCGUGUGAUGGGGAGACCGUUCUAUGUAAGAUACUUUCGACGAGUCGAGUUGUUUGGGAUUGCAGCUCUAAGUGGGUGGUAAAUUCCAUCUAAAGCUAAAUAUUGGCGAGAGACCGAUAGCGAACAAGUACAGUGAUGGAAAGAUGAAAAGAACUUUGAAAAGAGAGUGAAAAAGUACGUGAAAUUGUUGAAAGGGAAGGGUAUUCGAUCAGACUGGUACCUAGUUAUCAUUUGCUCCUUGUGGGCAAUGCUCUAACUUUUUACUGGGCCAACAUCAGUUUAGGUGGCAAGAUAAUCGCUGUUGAAUGUGGCUCCUCGGAGUGUUAUAGCUUCAGUUGAUAUUGCCUAUCUGGACUGAGGUCUGCGGCUUUGCCUAGGAUGUUGGCGUAAU
rnacentral:rRNA from 1 species